rnacentral:lncRNA from 1 species
CACCUAGUUCAAACCUUUAAAUUUACAGAUAUAGAAACUGAAAUCUAGUCAGUCUAAGUGACUUGCCCAAGGUCACAGAGGUAGGAAGCAUGAAAGGCAGAAUUGUGUAGUUCAAAGUUCCCCCUUUAAUCAGAGAAAGAUUUCUCUCCUCUAGAUUUCACAAUAUUCAAGUAAAGAAGUUCUUAAAUUCCUCUUGCUAGUGCUUUUCACAAUUUUUAGUGUCAAUUUUUUUUCUCAAUUUUUCACAAUUUCACAAUUUUUACAGUGUCAAAAUUCCCUCUAAAGGGUAAAGACUUCUAAAUACUCUUGUACUUUGAGUAGCAUCUUGCUUUGUUCCUUUCUGGAAAUGUUUUAUAGGCAUUUAUUACCUCCACUCUACAUAAUAUUCUUUCUUACUCUUGAAGACUUGUAUUACAUUUACCUAUCUGCUCGCCUACCCCAAUUGGUGCUAAGUAAGUUACAAGUCUCUUAACCUUUCUUCACAGAUUCUAUUUGUAGUGAUCUGAAGAACACAGAAAGUUCAUGAGGGAACUCAUUCUACAAAGAAUGCAGUAACAGCAACAAUGUAUUAUGAUCAACUGUGAUUGAAUGACUUAACUAUUAUCAACAAGGCAAGGAUCCAGGACAACUCCAAGAGACUCAUGAAAUAAAAAAAAGAUAUCAAGCACCAAAGAAAGAACACAUGGAAUCUGAAUUCAAACCAACACACACCAUUCUGUAUUUCUUCCAUGAUUUUUUCCUCCAUGAAAGCAAUACUUGCCAGUGUGAUGAACAUGGAAAUAAGUGUUAUAUGAUAAUUUUUUCCUCUGAAUGUGGAUAGAGUUCUUUCUCAUAAAUCCCUCUGAGUUGUUCAGGAUCACUGCAUUGUCCAGGGAUAUGUCAGGACACAUUCAGGACCUUAAGGAGGGUUAGUGAUGGUAAAGGAAAUCUACAAAUUCUUGCUCUUUGUUACUGCUGUUAUUUAGGUUUACUUACUCUAUAUACUCAUUUUGAUUUCCCUGUACUUAUUAGAUCUUUGUAAAAACAAUUUCUAUAGCAUUUAUGUCAUUGUAUCCUGUGACUCAAAGUCCAUAUACACUAAAUUUUCCUCAAUGGUGGAGAUCAAUUACUUAAUCUUCCAUGCCCAUGGAUGCAGUUGGUGAGGGAUUGGGAGGAGAGUGUUCCUGUCCUUCUGGCAUCUGACUCAGAGAAUGUACAAUUAGGGCUCUUAUAUUUGCUGGCACCUUUUGUCUUUUGUCUUAUAAC